AGAGUUUGAUCCUGGCUCAGAACGAACGCUGGCGGCAGGCCUAACACAUGCAAGUCGAGCGCCCGCAAGGGAGCGGCAGACGGGUGAGUAACGCGUGGGAACGUGCCCUUUGGUUCGGAAUAUUCCCGGGAAACUGGGAGCAAAACCGGAUAAGCCCUUCGGGGGAAAGUUUACGCCAAAGGAUCGGCCCGCGUCAGAUUAGGUAGUUGGUGGGGUAACGGCCUACCAAGCCUACGAUCUAUAGCUGAUCUGAGAGGAUGAUCAGCCACACUGGGACUGAGACACGGCCCAGACUCCUACGGGAGGCAGCAGUGGGGAAUCUUGGACAAUGGGCGCAAGCCUGAUCCGGCCAUGCCGCGUGGAUGACUGAAGGCCCUAGGGUUGUAAAGUCCUUUCGACGGGGACGAUAAUGACGGUACCCGUAGAAGAAGCCCCGGCUAACUUCGUGCCAGCAGCCGCGGUAAUACGAAGGGGGCUAGCGUUGUUCGGAUUUACUGGGCGUAAAGGGCGCGUAGGCGGAUUUUUAAGUCGGGGGUGAAAUCCCGGAGCUCAACUCCGGAACUGCCUUCGAUACUGGAAGUCUGGAGCACGGUAGAGGUGAGUGGAAUUCCGAGUGUAGAGGUGAAAUUCGUAGAUAUUCGGAGGAACACCAGUGGCGAAGGCGGCUCACUGGACCGUUGCUGACGCUGAGGCGCGAAAGCGUGGGGAGCGAACAGGAUUAGAUACCCUGGUAGUCC
rnacentral:rRNA from 1 species